rnacentral:misc_RNA from 1 species
UGAAAUGCGAAACGUAAUGUGAAAUGCAUAAACCUGUGAAUCAUCGAGUCUUUGAACGCACAUGGCGCCUCGGGAAACUGAGGCAUACCUGCAUGAGGGAUGGAUAAGGAAUUGAUUUUGGAAAGAAUCAGAGAUGGGGGGUGUCAGGUUGGGGAGGGGAGAGGGAGUGAUCCUUUUCUUCCCUUCUUAUCUGUCCUCUUAAAUAGAGAUAGAGGGAUGGAAUGAUGUGAUAUAUUGGGAGAUGAGAUGGAAUUCCAUUCUCUUCAUUUCUUGCAAAUUCAUCAUCGCCAUCUCAAUCAGUAUGUAUUAUACGCGAUGCUUGCGCAUCACGCACAACAUCACGCACAACAUCACGCACAACAUCCUCAUGUCAGGCAAGAUUACCCGCCGAACUUAA